GAGAAAGAAAGAAAGAAAGAAAGAAAGAAAGAAAGAAAGAAAGAAAGAAAGAAAGAAAGGAAGGAAGGAAGGAUGGAAGAAAAGAAGCACAAAUACUAUAUAAAUACCAAGGAACUGGAGAUAUGAGUGAUUGUCUCCCAACAGCUAGAGGUUCUGGAGGAAAUCCUGUCUCCAGAGGAGGAGGAGGAGAAAAACGUGGAGUACAAAUGAGAUGAAGGAGAUGUGUAAAAUGUGAGAAAAUUUUGUAGAAAAGCACCACCUGGAUAUGGCUGUAGC
rnacentral:lncRNA from 1 species